rnacentral:lncRNA from 1 species
GGCUAAGCUAGGAAGACUACUUGUACUCAGUGUGGGGCAAGGCAAAAAUUACUUUAAAAUGACUAAGUAAAUCACAGUAGGAAUCAACUUCUAGACAAAAAUUUAAGUGGGAGGUAAAAGUUUCUAGAACUAACUGAUUUAUGGCUGGUCCCACAGAUAUGUGCAACAAGGGUUACAGCGAGUGGGUCUGGACCCCCAGCUGCCAUUGGAUCAGGCUGCCCUCCAGGCCCACCAGGCCCAAGAGAAUCGUGUGGUGGCCUUCUUCAGCUUGGCCCUCUUGCUGGCCCCACUGGUAGAGACAUUGAUUCUGCUGGACCGGAUGCUCUAUCUUCAAGAGCAAGGCUUCUAUGCUGAGCUGUUGCCCAUCUUCAGCCCUGAACUGUCUCCCAGAAAUCUGGUUCUGGUGGCAACCAAGACGCCCCUGGGUCAGGCCUUCUCCAUUCUUGAGACUGAAGACAGCUGACAGUCUGAAGCCACCAGGUGUCAGUAUGGCUAGCUGCCGUCCUUGGCACCCUUUAGAGUGCCCUGUAUCCUGCUGGGAUUCUGGCUCUUUGCAGACUUCAGAUUUGUACCCUUUCUUUCCCUUCACUUGGAAAGUAAUACUGUGGAAUUUUUAUUUAUAAAACUUUUAAGACUUAGCUCCUUUUCCUAUAAAUACCAUGUAAUUUUAUUUAUUAAAACUCUUAAGACUUAACUCCUGUUUCUGUAAAUAGGAAAAGAACAGAGGGUCUUCUUGCUUCCAUCCCCAAACACACAGGACCUGUCCCUGGAAAGGCUAGCACCCACCCAGUCUAUCCUGACAAGCAGAAGAGCUGCACCAAGCCUAAGCUCCCCAAAAUGCAAGCCCUUGGGAAAGGAAGAGGGGAGGUGUGGACAGCAGCAGCACCCAAGGCUUCUUUAUUGGUGUUUUAGAAAGAAAGGGUGGACUUCAGGGUGAAGCAGUACUCUUAAGGCUCAAUACCAAUAGAUUUUCUUGAAUCUUCGAGUCUCCUGGAUCCCCAUGGCCUCCAUCACAUCUUCUUCUAAUGUCUUUAGCCGGGGCACGUAAGUUCUUUCUAAAGCAUCUUCCACUGAUGUGUCCUUGGGGCCAUCUGUUGAGUCAGAAGAAGAGUUUGCCAACUCUAUUCCUAGGAGUGUUGGGCUUAAGCACGCAAGGUAAGCACCCUACCACCAAGGUACAUUCCUAGCCCCAGCAACUUUGUUUUUCCUCUCAAACCUCACAUCCCUAACUUCUUCCUGCCCAUCAACUUACCAGUCCAUGUUUCAGGGACAAUGCCAUCUGCUCUGCACUCCACAGUUAUUACGUGAAGACAUGAACAUUAGAGCAGGAGGAAAGCAGGUAAUGGAAGAAAGCUAGGACAAAGCCUGAAGGCAAGCAGUCGUGAGACAUCAGGGAAAAACAGCUUACAGAGCUGGAGAGAGAGAAGGCUCAGUGGUAAGGAGCACUGACUGCUCUUCCAGAGGUCCCGAGUUCAUUUCCCAGCAACCACAUGGUGACUCACAACCAUCUGUAAUGAGAUCUGAUGCCCUCUUCUGGUGUGUCUGAGGACAACUACAGUGUACUCACAUAAAAUAAAUUUUAAGAAAAUCUUAAGGGGUUGGGGAUUUAGCUCAGUGGUAGAGCGCUUGCCUAGGAAGCGCAAGGCCCUGGGUUCGGUCCCCAGCUCCAAAAAAAAAACCAAAAAAAAAAUCUUAAAAACAAAAAACAACAUCAAAAGUUGUAUUUAAAAUAAAAGUAAAUGAACUGUGAUUUAAUAAAGCUAUUUAAGGGCUGGAGAGAUGGCUCAGUGGUUAAGAGCACUGACUGCUCUUCCAGAGGUCAUGAGUUCAAUUCCCAGCAAACACAUGGUGGCUCACAACCAUCUGUAAUGAGAUCUGGUGCCCUCUUCUGGCCCGCAGUCACAUAUGCAGGCAGAAUGCUGUACAUAAAAUAAAUAAAUCUUUAAAAUAAAGCUAUUU